UACAGAGGUGGCAAGCGUUGUUCGGAAUUACUGGGCGUAAAGGGCGCGUAGGCGGCCAUCUAAGUCAGACGUGAAAUCCCCCGGCUUAACCUGGGAACUGCGUCUGAUACUGGAAGGCUUGAGUAUGGGAGAGGGAUGUAGAAUUCCAGGUGUAGCGGUGAAAUGCGUAGAUAUCUGGAGGAAUACCGGUGGCGAAGGCGGCAUCCUGGACCAUUACUGACGCUGAGGCGCGAAAGCUAGGGGGAGCAAACGGG
rnacentral:rRNA from 1 species